UAAGCAUAUCAAUAAGCGGAGGAAAAGAAACCAACCGGGAUUGCCUCAGUAACGGCGAGUGAAGCGGCAAGAGCUCAAAUUUGAAAUCUGGCCCCUUUGGGGUCCGAGUUGUAAUUUGCAGAGGAUGCUUCGGGUGCGGUCCCCGUCUAAGUGCCCUGGAACGGGCCGUCAUAGAGGGUGAGAAUCCCGUCUGGGAUGGGCGGCCGCGCCCGUGUGAAGCUCCUUCGACGAGUCGAGUUGUUUGGGAAUGCAGCUCUAAGUGGGUGGUAAAUUUCAUCUAAAGCUAAAUACUGGCCGGAGACCGAUAGCGCACAAGUAGAGUGAUCGAAAGAUGAAAAGCACUUUGAAAAGAGAGUUAAACAGCACGUGAAAUUGUUGAAAGGGAAGCGUUGUCCACCAGACUCGCCCGGGGGGGCUCAGCCGGCACUCGUGCCGGUGUACUCCUCCCCGGGCGGGCCAGCAUCGGUUUGGGCGGCUGGUGAAAGGCCCCGGGAAUGUAACACCCUCCGGGGUGCCUUAUAGCCCGGGGUGUCAUGCGGCCAGCCUGGACCGAGGCCCGCGCUUCGGCGAGGAUGCUGGCGUAAUGGUGGUCAACGGCCCGUCUUGAAACACGGACCAAGGAGUCUAACAUCUAUGCGAGUGUUCGGGUGUCAAACCCGUCCGCGCAGUGAAAGCGAACGGAGGUGGGAGCCCCUCGGGGCGCACCAUCGACCGAUCCUGAAGUCUUCGGAUGGAUUUGAGUAAGAGCAUAGCUGUUGGGACCCGAAAGAUGGUGAACUAUGCCUGAAUAGGGCGAAGCCAGAGGAAACUCUGGUGGAGGCUCGCAGCGGUUCUGACGUGCAAAUCGAUCGUCAAAUUUGGGUAUAGGGGCGAAAGACUAAUCGAACCAUCUGGUAGCUGGUUCCUGCCGAAGU
rnacentral:rRNA from 1 species